ACGGAAGGCAGCAGUGGGGAAUAUUGCACAAUGGGGGGAACCCUGAUGCAGCGAUGCCGCGUGGAGGAAGAAGGUUUUCGGAUUGUAAACUCCUGUCUUAAGGGACGAUAAUGACGGUACCUUAGGAGGAAGCUCCGGCUAACUACGUGCCAGCAGCCGCGGUAAUACGUAGGGAGCGAGCGUUGUCCGGAAUUACUGGGUGUAAAGGGAGCGUAGGCGGGAUGGCAAGUCAGAUGUGAAAACUAUGGGCUCAACCCAUAGACUGCAUUUGAAACUGUUGUUCUUGAGUGAAGUAGAGGUAAGCGGAAUUCCUAGUGUAGCGGUGAAAUGCGUAGAUAUUAGGAGGAACACCAGUGGCGAAGGCGGCUUACUGGACUGUAACUGACGUUGAGGCUCGAAAGCGUGGGGAGCAAACAGGAUUAGAUACCCUGGUA
rnacentral:rRNA from 1 species